UAAAUAAGGAGUCUUGCCAAUAUAGUUAU
rnacentral:piRNA from 1 species